AUGGUGAGAAAGAUGACUAAUGUCUCCUGGCUGAAAGGAAAUUUCAUGGAGACUGUCAAGGAAUGGCAGAAACAAUGGUUCUACAUAACAGAACUCCGCGGCGCAAACUGGGUUGCCGCUGCCGAAUUCAACUCCGGUGCUCCAAUGUGGCUCACCUCUUGGGUUGAGAAGAGCCCGAAUUGGUCAUCGUCAGAUGAGUUGAUAGCGCUGCAGACGCACGUUCAAAGUAUGGUGGACAAGGAUAUCAAGCUUGUCGAUAUAAUCCAGGUGAUGCUAGUUCGCCAGAUUCUCCCGUGCCAAAGCCGAAGCCGUCCUCUAUGGGAGUUUAAUCCGAAGAAGCACCAUAACCUAAAGAGGUUCUUUGAAACUUCUCACGAAGACGCCUGGAAGUUGCUCUUCAAGGGCAACGAGACACCAUCGGCCAUGUAUUCGGACUGCGGGCACGACAUCAAUCACCUCGCCAACGAGGUAUGUUAUUUUUAA
rnacentral:rRNA from 1 species